rnacentral:misc_RNA from 1 species
UAGUAAAGAGCUCAGAAGGAUCAGGCAUAGGGCUCUCCUUGGCUUCAGCAAUUGCCUCAUCUACUUCCUUUCGGACUUCUUUCUCAAUAUCCUUCAGUUCGGAAGCAGAUGCUAGCUCAUGUGAUAGUAUCAACUUCCUAAUUCUUUCGAUCGGAUCACGUUCCUGUCUCACACCAGAAAUUUCAUCACGGGUACGAUAAGUGCUACCAGGAUCAGACAUUGAGUGGCCAUGAUAUCUAUAAGUAUCCAUUUCAAGAAUAAUAGGUCCAUUCUUCAGAACAUGCUCCUUGGCAAACUUGCAAGCUUGCUUCACAGCAAGAGCGUCCAUUCCAUCAACCUUGAGACCGGGAACAUAAUCCCCACGUUUGUAAUAUGCAGGACUCUUAGCAGCCCGCCAUUCCGCAGUGCCCAUCCCAUAGUGAUUGUUCUCGCAGACGAGUAUGACCGGUAAAUCCCAGAGCGCAGACAUGUUGAGAGCUUCAAACAGCUGCCCCUGGUUAGCCGCCCCGUCCCCGUACAAGGUGAAGGUAACCGUCUCCUCCUUAUUGUAUUUCUGCGCAAAUGCGAUCCCGCAUCCAAGUGGCACCUGUGCGCCGACAAUCCCAUGCCCACCGUAGAACCCCGCAUCCUUCUUAUAGAAAUGCAUCGACCCUCCCUUCCCCUUGGAGCACCCAGCCCGCCGCCCCAUCAGCUCCGCAAACGCCUCCACCAAGGUCCCGCCGCGGCCGAGGAAGAUGCAGUGAUCACGGUAGGCGGUGAUGAUGGCGUCCUGCUUGGUGAUGGCGGCCUCCAUCCCGACGUUGACGGCCUCCUGGCCGUCGUAGAGAUGGCAGAAGCCGCGGAUAAGCUUGGCCUUGUAGAGGGAAUCCGCGGCGAUCUCCAUGCGUCGCAUGACGGACAUGUCGCGGAAGAAGGUGAGGAGCUCGGCGGGGGAGGUGGCGACGGAGCGGGACGGGGGCUCGAUGCGGUGGCCAGUGAAGGGAACGCUGGUCUCAACGGUGAGGGGAGACUGAUCGGCGAGGGAGGAGGCGGCGGAGAAGGGGCGGGAGAGGGGGCGGAGGAGCUUGGAGGAGGAGGAGGCGGCGGCGAGACGGGAGAGCGCCAUGACCAGGGAUUUG